UACGGGGGGGGGCAAGCGUUGUUCGGAAUUACUGGGCGUAAAGGGCUCGUAGGCGGCCAACUAAGUCAGACGUGAAAUCCCUCGGCUUAACCGGGGAACUGCGUCUGAUACUGGAUGGCUGGAGUUUGGGAGAGGGAUGCGGAAUUCCAGGUGUAGCGGUGAAAUGCGUAGAUAUCUGGAGGAACACCGGUGGCGAAGGCGGCAUCCUGGACCAAUACUGACGCUGAGGAGCGAAAGCCAGGGGAGCAAACGGGG
rnacentral:rRNA from 1 species